UGGCUCCUGGCCUGUUUCAUUUCGUUUCGCUCGUUGGCGUCGCUCGCUUGUGGACAUAUUUGGCGUCAUGUGAGUUUCGACGUCUCCUUCAUUAUGAAAACUCGGGAGAAGCUUGAACUAGGAUUCACUGAAGGCAAGAAACGAAUGCUUAUCUGGGUUCAACAAGAAUGAAAAGGUAUUCGAGUGUGUGGCCGACUCCGGUGCCGUGUCCACACGCCUCAACAAGAAAGUUUAAAAUCCUCAUAGGAUCUUUCUACGGGACUCUGAUAACGAAAAAGCGCUUGUAACUCCCGAUGCGGAAGGAAAAUGACUACGAAUUGAAGCGGUGAUCAAAGCAGGAAGGGGACUGCUUUUUCAGCCAGUGAAUGCGGUCUGGGCUGGACAUAAUUUCCAGGCAAGUAAACGAGCAUUGUCAUGUUGUGCCCCCUGUCCACAGUGAUGUGCCCCCCGUCUACAGUGGCAGUUGCACUGAUCUUCUCAACAUUGCCCCCUGGCUCGCAUGACUGGCAGAGCAGCAAGGAUGGCUCGUUCUCCCUAGGUUAUGUGAUGCUGUGCACGGAGUGAUAAUUUCAACUACCCGACGAGUAUGGUGCCUGGAGCAAGUCUUCGACUGGUGUGUUUAGCGUCCUUUGCUGCCCGUACAUCAAAAGUGGUCCGA